rnacentral:rRNA from 1 species
CUACGGGGGGCAGCAGUGGGGAAUAUUGCACAAUGGAGGAAACUCUGAUGCAGCAACGCUGCGUGGAGGAUGACACUUUUCGGAGCGUAAACUCCUUUUAUAUAGGAAGAAGAUGACGGUACUAUAUGAGUAAGCGCCGGCUAACUCCGUGCCAGCAGCCGCGGUAAUACGGAGGGCGCAAGCGUUACUCGGAAUCACUGGGCGUAAAGAGCGUGUAGGCGGAUUAAAAAGUCAGAAGUGAAAUCCUAUAGCUUAACUAUAGAACUGCUUCUGAAACUCUUAAUCUAGAAUAUGGGAGAGGUAGAUGGAAUUUCUGGUGUAGGGGUAAAAUCCGUAGAGAUCAGAAGGAAUACCGAUUGCGAAGGCGAUCUACUAGAACAUUAUUGACGCUGAGACGCGAAAGCGUGGGGAGCAAACAGGAUUAGAUACCCUUGUAGUC